CAGCAGCCGCGGGAAUACAGAGGGUGCGAGCGUUAAUCGGAUUUACUGGGCGUAAAGCGUGCGUAGGCGGCUUCUUAAGUCGGAUGUGAAAUCCCUGAGCUUAACUUAGGAAUUGCAUUCGAUACUGGGAAGCUAGAGUAUGGGAGAGGAUGGUAGAAUUCCAGGUGUAGCGGUGAAAUGCGUAGAGAUCUGGAGGAAUACCGAUGGCGAAGGCAGCCAUCUGGCCUAAUACUGACGCUGAGGUACGAAAGCAUGGGGAGCAAACAGGAUUAGAUACCCCCGUAGUCCCUGUCUCUUAUAC
rnacentral:rRNA from 1 species